rnacentral:rRNA from 1 species
AUUGAACGCUGGCGGAAUGCUUUACACAUGCAAGUCGAACGGUAGAGGGGGCAACCCCUCGAGAGUGGCGAACGGGUGAGUAAUAUAUCGGAACGUGCCCAGUCGUGGGGGAUAACGUAGCGAAAGUUACGCUAAUACCGCAUACGAUCUAAGGAUGAAAGCGGGGGAUCGCAAGACCUCGCGCGAUUGGAGCGGCCGAUAUCAGAUUAGGUAGUUGGUGGGGUAAAGGCUCACCAAGCCAACGAUCUGUAGCUGGUCUGAGAGGACGACCAGCCACACUGGACCUGAGACACGGUCCAGACUCCUACGGGAGGAAGCAGUGGGGAAUUUUGGACAAUGGACGCAAGUCUGAUCCAGCCAUGCCGCGUGCAGGAUGAAGGCCCUCGGGUUGUAAACUGCUUUUGUACGGAACGAAAAGGUCUCUCUUAAUACGGGGGACUCAUGACGGUACCGUAAGAAUAAGCACCGGCUAACUACGUGCCAGCAGCCGCCGUAA